AUUGAACGCUGGCGGCAGGCCUAACACAUGCAAGUCGAACGAGUGGCGGACGGGUGAGUAAUGUCUGGGAAACUGCCCGAUGGAGGGGGAUUACUACUGGAAACGGUAGCUAAUACCGCAUACCAUUGGAUGUGCCCAGAUGGGAUUUGCUGGUAGGUGGGGCAAAGGCGCACCUUGGCUACGAUCCCUAGCUGGUCUGAGAGGAUGACCAGCCACACUGGAACUUAGACACGGUCCAGACUCCGACGGGAGGCAGGAGUGGGGAAUAUUGCACAAUGGGCGCAAGCCUGAUGCAGCCAUGCCGCGUGUAUGAAGAAGGCCUGCGGGUUGUAAAGUACUUUCAGCGGGGAGGCGUUACCCGCAGAAGAAGCACCGGCUAACUCCGUGCCAGCAGCCGCGGUAAUAC
rnacentral:rRNA from 1 species